UUGGUUUUUUGGGGGGAAAGUGCUUUUAAACAUUUUUCCCCCCAAUUCAUUAUGGAUCAUUUCCCAAUACUCUUUUUUACCCUUUUACAAGACUGCCACAUAUGGAAGAACUUGGCGUCUUACAUUUUCCAUUGAUUUCACUUUGGGUCCCUGCUCCCCUGUAAAGUACAGCAGUUCCCUGUAGGAUGCCCAUUUUCUAUCCAGGGCAGGUUGCAGCAUUAAGACAGUUUAUUUAUUUAGUUUUGUAUUUUUUUUUUUUGCAAAAGUAGUUGUCAUUGUCCCCCAUGUUACAGAGGCUUGGCAGGCCUCAAGUGGGACAUAGCUUUGGGACCCCAGUUGUCUCUGACUGAUUAUUCCCAUCCAUUCCGGAGAACUACAAAACCAGCACCACGGAGGCAAAGAGGUCUGGCAGCCAUGGCGAGGUUUCUCAGUUUCACUGGAGAAAAAUAUAACAAGGAGCUCGUGGUGGGAUUCAUGGUUCUUCUCUUCCUCACUUAAUCCCCAGAACAACCCUGUGAGGCUAAGAGGCAGUGACUGGCCCAAGGUCAUCCACACACUAUCCCAUUUAAGACUUUUCUGCCAAAGAGAAAGACCUGGCAAACAGAUCUUCCCUUGGACCCAUGCUGAGCAGCAACGGCUUCCUAAGGUAGGGAUUAUGCAUUGCAAAAUGGUUACUGGCUGAGAGACAUUUAAUGAGAACUAGCCAUUUGAGGCAUCAUAGGAACCUGCCUUAUACUGUGUCAGACCAUUGGUCCAUCUAGCCCAGUAUUGUCUAUGCUGAGUGGCCAGCAACUCUCCAGGAUUUCAGUGAGGGAUUCCCUCCCAGCCCUACAUUGAGAUACCGGGGAUUGAACCAUGGACCUUCUGCAUGCAAAGCAACUGAGCUAUGGAAACUUUGGCUUGUGGGCUGAACCAGAGUAUCAUUAUUUAUUUGUCCCUUGAACCAGUGAGCUAUAGCCCUUUCCAGAGAUGUCAACAAUUUCUCCUGUAUUGUGUUUGGAUUGCCUGCUCUGGAGGAAAAAAUGGAGUGGUAACUAUAAGGGCUAUUG